ensembl:lincRNA
AGUUCUGCUCUCCAUCAAGAAUGUCCCUUACUGGAGGAUUUACUCUAAGAAAACAUGCUUGCUGGCCCCUUUCAGUGCCCCCAAAUGCUUCCGGGAAACAAGUGCACUGUGUUUAUGAGACACACAUGCUGAAUUUCCAAGACACGCUUUCCUGAAACAAUGAGCCUUACCUGUGGACGAGAUGCUUGCGAAGACUUCUUGCAGAGAAGGUAGCAGCGUGGAGGGCUCAGCCUUCCAAAUAUUCUGCAGUAAGGUACUCACUUUCGUUACCUGGGAGACAUACUCCCGCAGUUCCUUCUCCUGAGUGGACACGCACUGGAAAUGACCUAUCGUUCGAACCAGCUGUUGACAGAAGGUAAUUGACAGUUUCCCUUUGGGGACGCACUGCACGAAAUCGGUCAGAAGGUCGCUCAGCCGGGCACAGAGCAGUGGCUCCGGCCUCUCGCAAACCAUUCGCAGAACCUCCACCUGGAGCAGGCUGAAGAGCUCCAGCACCGACGGGCAGCUCAUGAUCAGCUUCAGGCCGUUGUGAAUGUAGUCCAGGAUGGCGACGUCCUUCCUGUCCAGCGAGUGGUAGCCCUGCUGAAGGAGGCCCAACACGAAAGUCUUGUUGAAGAAGGACUCGAACUCCGGCCGGUGGUACCGCGCGUAGGCCUCCAGCACCUGGUGGCCCACUUGUCGCUGGAAAGGGUCCUGGCCCUCCAGGAUGAGGCGGGUCGUCAGGUCAAACAUGGCCUCGCACUGCGCCUCGUCGAGCCAAUGCUCCGCGAACUCCACCACCUUCCGCACAAUCAUCCGCUUGAGGGGCAGUGGGUGCGAGGAGCUCACCAGGCCCUCCAGAAUCUUGUCCAUCGUCGCCACUCCGCAAGGCCAGGCCCAGGGGACAGGGAGCUGCCGGCGGCGGCGGCGGUGGCGGCAGCCAAGCCCGGGGGGCAGCGAAGCGCCGCAGCGGCGGGGAACUUGGAGCCAACCAGCAGCAGGACCGGCCACCGCCACCGCCGCCUCAGCAGCCACAUUUAUCGCGUGGGAAGGCCCAUCCGAGCCGGGACGGGAGCGGGCGAUCCUGGGACGCCGAAAGGCUGCGGGUCCCCGCGGUCCGCCUCAGGGGCCGGAGGUGCGCACUCGGCUGCCUCCGGGCGCAGGGAUCCUCCGGGCCGAGCUGGAAGGUGAGCAGCGCCUUCGUGUCCCGGGUCAGUGAGGAGCCCCGGCUCCCGCGGGUGGGCAGUAAGAAGCCGCCCUGGGUCGAGUCAGGAGGCGCUGUCAGUACCGCGAUCUGCCAAGGAGAGGAGCCGGAGGCGCCGAACACCCUGAACCCGGAAGCAGAAAGACUGGCAAAAAGGAAGUGAAGCUGCGAGGAUUAUCCAAAUGACCAUAUUGCAACGUCUUGUUUCCAAGAGUGUGCCGUGCUAACUGCCAUACCAUCUCACCAUUUGGAUAGCAUUGCGGCAUGUUGUGAGCUAGGUAUUUGGCCUAAAUUCCUUUCUUCACUAUAGCCUUACUGAAGAUAGCAUCCGUUCUCUGAUUUCUCUGGAUUAUAGCGCCUCACAUCUGACAGACAUCUAUAGCUAUGUCAAAUAGAAGAGUUAGUGAUGUGCUAGUUUGUCAUACAUGAGUUAUGAUGGAGUUUGAAUUGUUUUGUAAACUAUUGGGCUGUCGUAUUUAUUUGUUGAGGUCAUGAAAAUUAAGAAUUAGAAAACAUAUUUGAGCCAAUCAACCAAUAUCACAUCUUUUUAAAAAUAGCUUGUGUAAAGAAGACUUGGAGAGUUUAAACUAGGUGCACAACUGUCCACUAGUUGAUUGUAGAUUCUCACUCUGCUUCCCCAGCUGGCUUAGAACCCACUCUGUAGACCAAGAUGGUCUUGAACUUACAGAGACUUCCUGUCUCUGCCCCUGCGUGCUGAGAGAUAAAAGGUCCUCCACGAUGCUUGGCUUAUAAACAGAUUUCUGUCCUAGAUCCUUUAGAAAAUUUGAAGGGGAACUCUUACUUUCUCCAUUCUUAAAUCUUACACCUUUUCCUGCUGUAUUCUUAAAUCUUACACCUUUUCCUGCUGUAUUCUCCAUGUAAACCUGGGACUACCCCACAUUUGGUGAUUUGAGUCACCAUUUUUACUUUCCAGUGACGUGUUUCAGACAAAUUGUUCUCCCCCCCAAGCCUUUAGUUUAGUUAAAAAAUGAGCUAGGUAUGGUGGCACAUGCUUUUAAUCCCAGAACUCAGGAGGUAGAGGCAGGCAGGCCUCUAGGAGUUCUAGGCCACUGUCGGUUAGAGUUCCAGGACAGCAAGGGCCACAUAGAGAGACUUUGUCUCAAAAACAAAACAA